rnacentral:rRNA from 1 species
UACAGAGGUCUCAAGCGUUGUUCGGAUUCAUUGGGCGUAAAGGGUGUGUAGGUGGCGCGCUAAGUCGGGUGUGAAAUUUCGGAGCUUAACUCCGAAACUGCAUUCGAUACUGGCGUGCUUGAGGACUGGAGAGGAGACUGGAAUUCAUGGUGUAGCAGUGAAAUGCGUAGAGAUCAUAAGGAAGACCAGUGGCGAAGGCGGGUCUCUGGACAGUUCCUGACACUGAGGCACGAAGGCCAGGGGAGCAAACGGG